GGGCGACCUCAACCUGACGGAGCGACAGUCCCGCCGCACAGAGGCUGUGACUAGGCUCGGGCGGCCCCGCCAGUGGCCUUCCCCAUCCAGUGUCCCACCUGGGGCCCUGAUGGCCAGGCCACACUACAGUCUGAGCCCACCUGCUGUGGGCAGGGACCCAGCGGGCCUGGAGAGAGACUUCCUUGCUUCAGCUUUCAGAGGCUGGCUUCUUCCCGCCCCUAUCACACUCAGCCACAGCCACCCUUGGUCCUGCCAUGCGAGAAGCCCCAGGUCAUGCAGGUAACUGUCCUGGGACGGGAUGGGGUCACAGGAAAGCCGUUUCCGGUCCUGAGCAAAGAACUGAGCGGGACACUUGGAAGGAGCAGCAAGAGCAAGAUCUAUCGUCAGCAACAGGAGUGAAGGUCCACCCCUCGGGGACAGAGCGUCCAGAAGUGCUCACAGCCUGACAGGGAUAGGUACAGGGUCUCUUGAGGUCCUGCAAUUUGGGGGGCCUGUAGCUGGGGCCUGACAGGAAUCAUGGCCCGGAGCAGUGCCUGACUCACCCACCUGUCCAGAGCGUUUUUUUUUUUGGUACUAGGAAUCAAACUCAGGGCCUUGGACUUGCCAGGCAGGUGCUGCACCGCUGAGCUGCAUCCCUGGCCCUGGAGGGAGUUUUUCACGACCCCAGGCUUGGGGAGGAAGUGUCACGGUGUAGGAGCUGGUGGUGUGGGUGUGUGUGAAAACCGCCACGCAGAUGAAGCUGGACGCCCCGGGGUCCCACACUGCAGUUUUGCACACAGGGCCUCAGGCACAGGGUGACCGCUCCCUCCCGGGGUCUGAUGCUGGGACGCAGCAUCUGUGCUGUCUGGCCGCUCCACUCUUGCUUGUGUUUCAGUCUCCCCGUCCUAUUCCUGAGCUCGUCCCAGGCUGCUGGCUCCGACUGGGCAGUACCGAGCAGCAGUGUCCCCCUUGGGGCAACUGCGCCUGUGGGCAGCACUUACUGAGGCACCUGGAGGGAGCAGGGAAGGCAGGGGGAGGGUGGGCAGUGCACGGUGCAUGUGGUCCUGCUGUCAGCACCGCUGUCCUGUCACUGACACUCCCAGAAGGAGGGGCGUUCAUGUGGCCCUCGGUGUCAGCUGGUCUCUCUCGAGGCAGAAGCAGUGCAGAGAGGGCUGUCCUCGGGCACCCUUUCCCAGUCAGGGUGGUAAGAGGGGCAGACCUGCUCCUCAAGCUGACCGACCCCAGGACAAGAUGGCAAGGCACAGACAAGGGACUCCCAUCCUGAACCCUGGGGGCCCACAACCCUAUGCACAGGGGACCUUGGGAAGGUGGCCCUGCCCUGAAGGGACCCCGCGUCAGUUGUGGAGAGGGAGUAAGGGAAGUGCUGCAAGUGGACCUUCUCGUAAGUAGCUGAACUUCAUGUGUGGUAAAACACACCCACCCCGGGUACAGCUGGACCAGUGCGAGGUGAAUCGGCAUGUGUGUGUGCCACUGCAGGGAUCAGACCUUUCCCCAGCUCCACUCAGCCCGGCCCAGGCGACCUGCUGCCUCUGUCACUGCAGACUGCAGCUGUGGAGACCCCGGCCUGAAAAACAGGACCGAGCCCUUCUCCAUUUUCUUCAGUCUGAGCGUCGGCAUUUUAAUGUCAGCCGUCUCUUUGUUGCAAAGAUCUUCAAGGCAACGAUGUAAAGAACAAGCCCGUGUUUAGCACUUUUCUGCCAAAAUAAUCAUAACAAAAUGUUGGUGUCCACAGCAAGGUGACAUUGGCGGAAUCAGGCUUACCGUGAGUAUUCAGCACGAUGCAGAGCGUUUCCCAAACAACAGACCCCUCUUCAGAGGUAGGGUGUGCAUGGGGCGCUUUCAUCCUGAGGGCUGACUCCAGCCAAGAGGCAGGGACAGGGAGCUGGUGCGGCUGACUGGCAGCCAGCACCACGACUACCACCCCUGCCCCUGCCGAAGUCAGCAUGCAUCAGCGUGCGUGUGUGCGGGUGUGCAUGUGGGUGUGUGUGUGAAUCUGCCCAGCCAUGUCUGCUCCCCUGGGUGGCUUCCAGCCUUUCCCUGGGCCCCACACCAAACCCUCACUGCAGGGAGUGUCCAGCUCACCUUGGGACUGCUCCAGGACGGUGUGCUGACCCCGAGGUGUAAGUGACCUGGGAAGAAGAUUGUCCCUGACCAGAGGACAGUACAAGGACCCAAGGCCAGGGAGAGGCUGCGUGUGGCUGGGCUGUGGCACCUGCUCCAUCCUGGGAGGAAUCUGCUUGCCAACAACCUCAGCUGCUCAUCACCGAAGGACUCUGCUCUGCACUGCCGGUGCUGGAGGGAAAGAGACCAGUGGGCGUUCCAGGACCCCUUCGGCCGGGAAAAUCAGCUGGAGGGAGGCACUGAUCCACAGGACCUGGGGUGACCAAGAGUGGUGCCAGGCGCAUGGGCCUGUGGCGUGGAGGAGGCCGGGACCCCAGCUGAGGGCUGGAAGCCAGGCAGGGCAGCCUUCUCAGAUGUGGGAGGGAGGAGUGUCUGCACUUGGUGUGAAUGUGGCAUUCAGUCCAGCAGCGCCCAGCUGUCCAGCAAGUGCGGUGUGCACAGACCUCACAGAGCAGCACUCAGGGACACGGCUUGGAGGGGACAAAGCUGGGCCCCUGCUCGACCUGUGUCCAGAUCCUCGAGUUUCGCCAGGGCAGCUGUGCAUGCUGCGCUCCCAAGCAGGACCAGCUGCACCCGUCCCGGUCCUCACCACACCUCCACGGGCUCUGUCUCUGCUCCAGCUCUUUGAGGCUCCUCCUGCUUGCCUGUGUGUGGGGACACUGAGGACUUCUGAGACAGAAGGAGAGAGGGUCUUUCUGCAAGGACAGCGCCCUCAACACCAAAUAGGCAUGUGAGGGACACAGCACCCUGGGACGGCCAGUCCUUUAGGUCCCUUUACAAUGGAAGAGGUGUUUUCACAUCCAAACGCUCUCCCAUGCUCAGCCACAUCUCGACAGAAUUAGCGAGACCCGAGAAGACAUUCCUCAGAGGGUGAGUAAUAACUAGAGCCUCAAACAGAUCUGUCCAGGCGUCUCCUAGAAUUGACGGCCCGCGGUGACCUGGAAUCACACAACUGCUUCGCCAGCCACUCCAAGAACCAAUUCCACGAGGACACACAGCUAAUUCAUUAUUUAUGUAGCACAUCAUCUGCCUCCACAGCAGGCAGAGAGCUGGCCAGAUAGGCCUGUGCUGCAUCUUCCUGCUUUCUUUUCUUUCUUGGGAGGGUUGGCUUGAGGUUGAGCCCAUAAGGGGACCCUGGGGUGUCUGUUCGGGUCUCCAUCUUGUCCUGGGGCUGGUGGCUUCUUGUAGAUGUGUCCCUGGGCUCACACUCUUGACCUGGGCCGGUGGCUGCAGGGUCAGUAUCCCAGGGAAUCUCCCUGAGCUCUGGGCACGGGAGGACUGAUCUUCUAGCAAAUGUCCAAGAGUCAUACAUAACCCAGGCUUCGUGGGGCUUGGCGAACCUGGGGUUUUGUCAGUGCAGGACAAUGUGGAUUUGACUCUGUCACUGAACACUGAAGAAUGACAGAAGAACACCCAGCUAGGAUGCAAGGGAGCAGCCUUCCAGAGCUGUCCCCGGGCUGACCUUGGAGGGCCCCUCCACCCCUGGUGUGGACCACAUCCAAUGGCUGAAGGACCAGGUGAACAAAGAGCAGGCUCUGAGCAGGACGGGACCCCUGACAGCAGUGCAUGCAGGUCCCUGCUCCUCCUCAGAGCUCUGGGCUGCCCUGCAGACCUGGGACUUGCCAGCCCCCAUGAGCGCCAUGCCUGGUGUGAACCCACCUGAAAGGCUGGAGCCCAAGCAGCUCGGAGCUUCUCAAACUCAGGAGGAGACAAAGGUGCAGAAAUUAUGUUUCUGCCAAGGCCAGCAGGAGUAAGAGGAGGAGCCGCAUCCAGGACCUUGAUGUCUGCCGAGGACCACCUGCUGGGCCUGCCAUGUGGGGUUCUCUCGGCUGCCACUCUCCUCUGCCGGGGAAACGCAGGGCCUUCGUGGAUCUGAGACGCUGCUGACCUCAGGGUGUCGUGUUGUGGACCCCGAUCAUCAGCGCCUCUGUGGGCGAAUGUGUGCUAUACAGAAAGCACACGUGAGCUGUGUUGGUUACCAGCGCAGUCCUUGCAGGAAAAGGCGCUGCCAGGUUGGUCACCGGCAGGACUGGUCACCAGGAACGGCAGUGGCCGACGCAGAGGAGCUGCGCAGGUGGCAUGUCGGGAGGCCGGCGUGGCACUCAUAGCAUGCGUGUGUUCAUGCACACAACGCCCCCCACUGUGACGAGUCCUGAACACGGUCUGUGCCUGAUCGGCAGGUUGAAGGAAGGCUCGAGUGGUAAGCAGCAGUCCAGGGAUGGAGGUGAGAGUCCCGGCGACCUGGACGCGAGGCAGGAGAGCGCUGUACUCCGCAGAGUCGCUCUUACACCUGACCAGUGCACGCGACUUCCUCUCUCUCCCUGGGUGCUGGAGGGUGGGCGUUUGGCAUUGCAGACACGUGUCCCAGGGCGGGGGCCAAGUGGCCGUGCAUGGGAGGCUGCUCCCUGCCCUCUCCAAGGUUCCGGUACCUGGCGCUCCUUUGGUUUCUGUGUCGUCUACCAUGUCUUCCGCUUGUCUUUCCUCUGCUCAGUCCAUCUUUCCCUCUGAGUUUGCUCUUUCCUGAGGACACAGGAGUCUGCUGGUGAGGGCUCGUCCUGCGACCCCGUCUUCACUAGCGACACCUGCACGGGUCUGUGUCCACAUGAGGUCACGUUCCCUGGUCCAGGCUGGGACUUCAGCAUCUUCAGGGGACACAGAUCAGCCCAUGGCCUCCAGCAGUGCUGGCUACCAGGUGGUGCCCACCACCCUUCCCUCCACUGCAGGCUGCUCCCAGAGGUUCAUCCAGCCUGGAUCGGGAGCUGCUCCCUGGGAACGUGUGAGGCUGCGGGGUCUCCUCCUCAAACCCCGAGUCUACAGAGCCACUACCACCUUGCCCCUACCCCUCCCCUGUGUCCCUCUACAGGGACUUGACCCCUGGAGCCUCAGAGAAGCUGGAAUUGUGUCUGUGUAUUGGAGGUGAGCACCCCGACCCAAGAAUCCAAAACCCAACACAUUGACAUACCAUAAGAAUGUCUCAUGCAGGAAAUUCUGAAAAUUAUCAACGAAGUUACCCUCAGACGUGUGUAUCAGGCAAGCCCUCGAGCUCUGAGCCACACAUCGGCCUUCUGGAUAUUUUUCAACCAAGACACACGAAAGACGCAGAAAUACGUCUAACCAGUAUGGAGGACAGAGCUUUGAAGUCCUGAGGGUAUGUGAGGUGAGAAGCAGGAGCUCUGACCGGCAGAGUAGCCUCCCCCCACAGGCGAGGAGAGAGCGUGGUCCAAGGACCCGAGUGUGUCACCCACGGGAUGGGCGGACUCCCUCCCCACAGUGCGCAGCCCCUGCACAGAACCCUCUGCUCCUGCAAGCAGUGACCUGCAAGCCCCGUGACACCCCAGGGAGUCGUGGCCAUGGGCCUGCUGCCCCUCAGCCUGCCCAGCUCCUCCGGGAGAAAUGAGUGCAACCACACGGAGUCCCGAGAAAGCCACUUCAGGGUACAUGUGGAUGGCAUCACCAUGUCCCAGGUCACAGAACCGCAGGCUCUCGAGGGACCCACACGCACUCACCCCGGAAAGAGGACCUGAUCUGGGGUCUUAUCAAGUGCUUGCAGCUCACCACUGUGUGGAACAUUCCUCCUCCUGCUGCACCCUGUCUUCCAGGGCAGGUGGCUGGGCUCCCGCUUGGCUGCUGGGCACACUGCCCACCAUGGGAGGGCACUGGUGUCCUCCAGGAAGGCAGGCAGCAGUCCCUGCUGUGCCAGUGGCCAAAGCCAUGGGACUGGGGUGAGGAGAAGCUUGGGCAGCAGAUGUGACAGGAGGCCUUGGGGGUCUGGCAGCUGCUGUGGGUGGAAGCUGAGGUGGCAGGUCACCCUCCAGAGCUGUCUGUCCACCCUGGCCUGACCGUGUCCCCUGGGGCUGAGGGCAUGAGAGAGGGGCUCUGGGCUGCAGUGACCACCUGGAGCAGGGCUGAGAUCAGAACCAGAGGAUAUUCACGUCUUCACCGGGAUUGUGAAUGUGUCCUUUCUCUUUAACUUCCAUUAAUUUUUGUGUUUUUGACUUGGGGUUAUAUUUUUAAGUACAUACUAAUUUAGGAUCAUCAUAUUUAUUGACUAAUUGCUUCUUUUAUCACGGUGUAUUAUCUCUUUAUCCCUAGUAAGUUCUGGCUUAAACUCCAUUUCACCUGCUGUGAGUAUAGCUGCACUGGUUCGUGUCCCUGUUGGCCUGAUGUGCUUUCCUUCCGUUUUCUUUGAAUCUUCCUACAUGUCUGUUGUGAACAAGACCUGGCCGAGUCCUCAAACUCAUGAAUAUGAUCCAUUUAUGUUUCUUUUCUUUUGAGGCAAGAUCUCACUGUGUAGCUCAAGCUGGCCUGGAACUUGCAGU